CAGCCGCCGCGGUAAUACGUAGGUGGCGAGCGUUGUCCGGAAUUAUUGGGCGUAAAGGGAGCGCAGGCGGACAUAUAAGUCCAUCUUAAAAGUGCGGGGCUCAACCCCGUGAGGGGAUGGAAACUGUAUGCCUUGAGUGCAGGAGAGGAAAGCGGAAUUCCCAGUGUAGCGGUGAAAUGCGUAGAUAUUGGGAGGAACACCAGUGGCGAAGGCGGCUUUCUGGACUGUAACUGACACUGAGGCGCGAAAGCGUGGGGAGCAAACAGGAUUAGAUACCCGUGUAGUCCCUGUCUCUUAUACC
rnacentral:rRNA from 1 species